AACUUUCAACAACGGAUCUCUUGGUUCUCGCAUCGAUGAAGAACGCAGCGAAAUGCGAUACGUAAUACGAAUUGCAGCUCUCGGAAUCAUCGAAUCUUUGAACGCACAUUGCACCGUGGGGUAUUCCCCACGGUAUGCAUUGAUGAGCGGUAAA
rnacentral:rRNA from 2 species